rnacentral:rRNA from 1 species
UACGGGAGGCAGCAGUGGGGAAUAUUGCACAAUGGGCGCAAGCCUGAUGCAGCCAUGCCGCGUGUAUGAAGAAGGCCUUCGGGUUGUAAAGUACUUUCAGCGGGGAGGAAGGCGGUGAAGUUAAUAGCUUCACCGAUUGACGUUACCCGCAGAAGAAGCACCGGCUAACUCCGUGCCAGCAGCCGCGGUAAUACGGAGGGUGCAAGCGUUAAUCGGAAUUACUGGGCGUAAAGCGCACGCAGGCGGUCUGUCAAGUCGGAUGUGAAAUCCCCGGGCUUAACCUGGGAACUGCAUUCGAACUGGCAGGCUAGAGUCUUGUAGAGGGGGUAGAAUUCCAGGUGUAGCGGUGAAAUGCGUAGAGAUCUGGAGGAAUACCGGUGGCGAAGGCGGCCCCUGGACAAAGACUGACGCUCAGGUGCGAAAGCGUGGGGAGCAAACAGGAUUAGAUACC